rnacentral:rRNA from 1 species
UAGGGAAUCUUCGGCAAUGGGGGGAACCCUGACCGAGCAACGCCGCGUGAGUGAAGAAGGUUUUCGGAUCGUAAAGCUCUGUUGUUAAGGAAGAACGAGUGUGAGAAUGGAAAGUUCAUACUGUGACGGUACUUAACCAGAAAGGGACGGCUAACUACGUGCCAGCAGCCGCGGUAAUACGUAGGUCCCGAGCGUUGUCCGGAUUUAUUGGGCGUAAAGCGAGCGCAGGCGGUUAGAUAAGUCUGAAGUUAAAGGCAGUGGCUCAACCAUUGUAGGCUUUGGAAACUGUUUAUCUUGAGUGCAGAAGGGGAGAGUGGUAUUCCAUGUGUAGCGGUGAAAUGCGUAGAUAUAUGGAGGAACACCGUUGGCUAAAGCGGCUCUCUGGUCUGUAACUGACGCUGAUGCUCGAAAGCAUGGGGAGCGAACAGG